GCGGCCCCGCCCCUCCCGGUGCCGAGCCCCGCCCUGUCCGGCGCGGCCUGGCUCACUCUGUUCUCCCGGUCCCCGGGACCUUAGACUACGGCCUCGCCACCUCUCCGGUCGGAUCAUGGGCUCUGCCGAUCGCCCCGCGCUGAGGUCGCCUUCGUUGCCGCCCCCUCCCCCAUCGCCGCCGUCGCCGCUGCUGCUACUGCUGCCUCUGCUGCCUUUGUGGCUGGGCCUGAUGGGCCCGGGAGCGGCGGCGGACGGCAGCGAGCCGGCGACCGGGGAGGGACGGGGCGGAGCCCGCUCAGUGCGAGUGGAUGUGAAACUGCCGCGGCAGGACGCCUUGGUUUUGGAGGGCGUCAGAAUCGGUCCGGAAGACGGUCCGGAACCUCUGCUGGGUGGCCGCCUGCUGCUGAUGGAUGUCGUGGAUGCUGAGCAAGAGAUACCCGUAGAUGGCUGGAUUGCAGUGGCAUAUGUGGGCAAAGAGCAGGUCGCCCAGUUCCACCAAGAGAAUCAAGGCAGUAGCCAGAAGGCAUAUCCCAAGGCUCUGGUCCAGCAGAUGCGUCGAGCCCUUUUCCUGGGAGCCUCUGCCCUGCUUCUCCUCAUCUUAAACCACAGUGUGGUCCGAGAGCUGGAUGUAUCCCAGCUUCUGCUGAGGCCAGUGAUUGUUCUCCAUUACUCCUCCAAUGUCACCAAGCUGUUGGAGGCCCUUCUGCAGCCUUCUGUCUGCUUCCCACCCAUGACUCUCCUCUCAGGAGGACCCAGGCUACUGCUGAGAUCAGCAGUGGAGAGUCCCUUUCAGCCAACAUCGAGUGGAAGCUGACAUUGUGGACCACCUGUGGUCUCUCCAAGGAUGGCUACGGAGGCUGGCAGGACUUGGUGUGCCUGGGAGGUGCUCAGGCCCAGGAGCAGAAGCCCCUGCAGCAGCUAUGGAACGCCAUCUUGCUUGUGGCCAUGCUCCUGUGUACAGGACUUGUGGUUCAGGCCCAACGGCAGGCGUCAAGACAGAACCAGCAGGAGCCUGGAGGCCAGGAGGAUUUGUUCAAACGCCGUGUGGUUCGGAGGCUAGCAUCUCUCAAGACUCGGCGCUGCCGGCUGAGCAGGGCAGCACACAGCCUUCCAGAGCCGGGCACUGAGACGUGUGCUGUGUGUCUAGAUUACUUCUGUAACAAGCAAUGGCUCCGGGUACUGCCCUGUAAGCAUGAGUUCCACCGAGACUGUGUGGACCCCUGGCUGAUGCUACAACAGACCUGCCCACUGUGCAAGUUCAACGUCCUGGGGAACCACUACUCAGAUGACUAACUGCCCCAGUGGAAAGUCUGCAGUUCGGGACGGACCCUUCCCAGCCUACACUACAGGAGAGUGGGAUGGACAGACCAGCUAGCCCUGUGGGCAAAGGAAAGGUCCCACCAUGCCCAUGGCGGGUAGAAGGGCCUCCCAGCUCCAGGCUGAACACAGAGCCGGACCCAGCAGGCAAGGAGAAAUCAUUAAGAGCCCUUCUCUGCAAACCUGGGGUAUUUGUGUCUGUCCUCAUAGGCGGCUCCCACAACUCUGGGAAGAACAUACGGCCAUUACACCUGUCCCCAGCACUCCGGAGCGUCAGUGUUGAGUUUUAUGCUAUCUAUUGGGGGAUAGAUGAGGGGAAAGAUGUGUGGCCAUGGGACCCACUGGCAGGAACCUGUCUUUCAGGCCAGGGCCUGAUCAAUGACUUUAAAGUGAGCCUGCUCCGUGACCUGCUGCCUGUCCAGCUGAGUUCUUCCAGGCUGGCUGGGUUCAGAGGCCUUAGAAACCAUCUAGUGCUGUAUUUCUUGGUUGGGCUAAAUGUUACUGACCAGGAUACUUGAGGCCACAGAAUCUAUGUGGUGCAUCUGCAAGGGCAUCAUUAAAAGGAAAAAACAAAAACACAAAACAAAUGUUUGGGUAGGGAAGUUUUAAUAGUAAAAUAAACAUGGAAUCUAUUUUAACAUAAA